GACGAACGCUGGCGGCGUGCUUAACACAUGCAAGUCGAACGAUGAAGCCGGAGCUUGCUCCGGUGGAUUAGUGGCGAACGGGUGAGUAACACGUGAGCAAUCUGCCCUUGACUCUGGGAUAACUGCGGGAAACUGUAGCUAAUACCGGAUACGACACCUUGGGGCAUCCCAGGGUGUGGAAAGAAUUUCGGUCAAGGAUGAGCUCGCGGCCUAUCAGCUAGUUGGUGAGGGAAUGGCUCACCAAGGCGACGACGGGUAGCCGGCCUGAGAGGGUGACCGGCCACACUGGAACUGAUACACGGUCCAGACUCCUACGGGAGGCAGCAGUGGGGAAUAUUGCACAAUGGGCGAAAGCCUGAUGCAGCAACGCCGCGUGAGGGAUGAAGGCCUUCGGGUUGUAAACCUCUUUUAGCAGGGAAGAAGCGAAAGUGACGGUACCUGCAGAAAAAGCACCGGCUAACUACGUGCCAGCCGCCGCAGUAA
rnacentral:rRNA from 1 species